GUCGAUAGGUCUGCUAGCAACAGCCGUGCUGCAGCAGAGAGAGAGAGAGAAAUCAAGAAACAAGUCAUAGCAACACCGGGCACCAGGUUCUGCCAGCUCACUUGCUGAGCGUUCAGAGAUCUGUCAGGGCCAGAGGCCUCUGGGUAGCCUAGGCUAGGAGAUGACACGCAAGGUGGCACGGGCGGUUCCCGUGGGGAGGAGGUGGGGUGGUGGUGGGGGGCAGGGGUGGGAGCAAGAGGUUGUGGGGCGACGGUGGAGGGUUUGAUGGGACCAAAUUCUGGAACAUUCGGGACUGCGGCACCUUACGGCGGGACCAAGAUUUGGGUCUGCGCAGGCGGCGAUGGGUGGUCCGACGGGCUUCAGGACUUGAUGGCGUAACCCCCUUCUUCCCCCACAUUUGCAUUGACGUCCGGGGCUGUCCAGAGGCCCUCAAGAGCCAGUUGUGAGCUGAGCCCAGUAUGGGAAAGAUCUACCUUCUGGAAGCUACUACUACGUGGUGCUUGGAAAGAGGACUCAGGAGAGUGCAGCUUGCUCUGUGAGUGGGUGACAACCUCUUGGCGACUCAGGCUCAGCUGAGGAUGGUGCCAGUGUGCCGGAGACAGCCGUCAUACUGCCGGAUAGAGUGGCUCACUUGCAUGUAUUUGGAACAAAAAAAGGAGAUGCCUGGCAGCCCCGCUCUCUGCAGUGCUGUUGAGCCACCAAUUUUUGUGGUUUUGUGACCACAAGUGCUGACUGAUGCGACAUGACCCCAGUCUUGUCAGUGAAUCAUCACCAGGCUGCUUACUGGAAACUGGAUGCAGCAAGGAAAUAGGAUUUAACCGCUCUCUGCCUCCCAGGAGCCCUGAAAUCAGCAUUCCCAGAGGAAAGAAGAUGGCCAUCUGGGCUUGGCUUCCGGCUCCCCCCAUCUGGCUGGAACACACAUCAGUCACCCCUGUGUAACCUCCUCUGUGCCUUUCCCAUGGAGCACUGUGUCAUAUCACAAGUAGAACUACAAGAAGAUAUUUCUCCUCAGGGCAGAGGCUGGGUCUUCCGAUUGAAUCUCCCUUCUUUCUUCAUUGAGAUCCUCUUCUUCUGGAAGCUGGUUUCACAUGGUGGCUUAGAUUUUUCCAUCUUUGUAUCUAGCACCAUUUGAAAUCAGUGUUUUAGGAGUAAGAAUUGCAGCACAGCCAAGGGUGGACUGCAGAGGAACUGCUGCUCAUGGAACUGGCUCCUCUCCUCUUGCCACUUGAGUCUGUUCGAGAAGUCCAGGGAAGAACUUGAAGAGCAAAAUACACUCUUGAGUUUGUUGGGUUUUGGGAGAGGUGACAGUAGAGAAGGGGGUUGUGUUUAAAAUAAACACAGUGGCUUGAGCAGGGGCAGAGGUUGUGAUGCUAUUUCUGUUGACUCCUAGCAGCCAUCACCAGCAUGAAUGUGUUCGUAGGGCCUUUGAGUGUGGCGAUUGUCAUAUUCUGUUGGAUAACAAUGUAUUGGGUGUCGAUUGUCAUGGGGCAGGGGAGAGGGCAGUACACCUGGAGGACCAUUUUGUCCACAUCGACACCAUCAGUCUGCUCUUAGAGGAUGCCCUGGAGUAUUCGGCGUUGAUUGCGGGGCACCCGAAAUCAGACUUGCCACCUGGACUGUCGAGGUGCAGACCCUGGGAGCACCACUGGCCCAUCUCUUACACAGGCUGACCGAUUUCUCCUGGUGUUCAGAGUCUGUUUUUGUCUAGCACCAUUUGAAAUCGGUUAUGAUGUAGGGGGAAAAGCAGCAGCCUCGAAGCCUCAUGCCAACUCUGGGCAGCAGCAGCCUGUGGUUUCCUGGAAGAUGGAUGGGCAGAGAAUAGGGAAGGAAGAUCAUGCUUUUCCCUACUAACUUCUGUAACUGCAUGUAUGAUACAUUAUUGCAGAGGUAAGAGAUAGUUUAAUGGAUUUUUAAAAACAAAUUACUAUAAUUUAUCUGAUGUUCUCUAGUUGCAUUUUGCUGAAAUGUAGUGCUGUUCUAAAUUCUGUAAAUUGAUUGCUGUUGAAUUAUCUUUCUGUUGAGAAGAGUCUAUUCAUGCAUCCUGACCUUAAUAAAUACUAUGUUCAGUUUAUCAUGUCUGUGUUUUUCAUCUAUUAUUUCCCAUUCAUAAUUCUGUGAUGAUAAGAAGUGGGUCCUGAAAAAUUAAUUGGCUGUGCAGAUCUUGCCUACUUCAUAAAGAAUUUGAAGUAGGUUACAGCCAGCCAGACAUUAAAAAUGAAGCCCAUUAAGAGAAGAAUGAAAUUCUAUGAGCCAAGAAAUAAAAUGAGAGAAAAGAUUAGGGAAGAGAAGAAAUGUUGAAGAUCAAGGCUGAGGGAUGCUCCCUACUGAAUGGGAAAACUCCUUAGUUCCACAUGGGCU
rnacentral:lncRNA from 1 species